UGUUCCAAAACUGAGUUGCCAAAUAUCCCAAGCCUCAGUUCAGCCUUGUUUACCUCUGCUCGUGCAGCAGCUGAGCUUCACUCAGCAUUCAUGCAGCCUGGGGGGUAGUGAGAUUCAGACAUUAGUUCUGCCUGCCUGGAAGAGCCCCUGGGGAUCCCUGUGUCCUUCCAUAAUUAGGUGUUUUCUCUAUUUCUUCAUCUGCAAGCAUUCUGAUUUCCACAAGAUCCAUAUUGUCCCUAUAAUUGUACUUCAUCUCAGUGAGUUUCCACCCCACCAGUGCCCGGAUGCCGUCGGCAGUCUGCAGGCUGCAGAUAGACUUGGUCACAAAGAGCGAGUCGGGCGCUGUCUGCAGCACUGUGCCAGCUGGGUUGUGGAGAACAUGACCACAGAGAGAAUGUGCAAAUGGGAAUGUCCUUGGAAAGGACGUUGCUGUCCACCUGGACACUGAGAUGCCAUUUCCCGUGGCAGGAGCUGAAGCUGCCUGAGCUUUUUCUAGAAGAUCCUCAAUAUAUCAAAUAGCUGUGGCUACAUAUCCUUCUGUGUUUGUAUCUGCAACAUCCACCACAUGCAGUUGGGUCGUGUCCAUCCCACUGGCCAAAGGAUGAGUCUGCAACUACAGCAGCAUCUUUUGCUCAUGGGACUACAGAAGGGAGCAACUGUGCUGGACAUUUCUUGGCUUUUUCUCAGUGGAGAAGAGACCAAAUCUCAAUUUUAGUGUUUCCGCUGUCUGAGGCAUCUUUCUGAGGUCUGGUGACUGUCAAAAGUUUAUCUCCUCUGUUUAUUUUGCCCUGCCAGUAUGAGGUUUUUCACAUAAGCCAAAUCUGAGGCUGUCAAUGCAGAGCAAGGAGCCCAUGUUGGUCUGCAGGUUCUUCCAUCCCUGAGGGUUUCAGCGUAAAUGUCUUACAUGUAAAUGGUCGUAAUUCAGUUAAAUUCCAUUACAGGGGGAACAAUCUGCUUUUCUGCAUGAAUGGCUUUAUUUCCUAUAAGUUUUGAAGGAAAAAUAGAACAUUUUAAGUAAGUGCUUUGGUGAAAAGCAUCUGCCUGUUAGGAAGAAGGAGAAGUUGCUUCCAUUUCACAAGAAAUAAUUGCACCCUCAACAUGCCCUUCCUGUUUCCAUCUCGUGGGCCUCUUCUCCUGGAAGAUGCUAGCGGUGUUGUCAAACCAUGAAAAUGCUGAGGAGAAAGUUCUGAAGGCUGGAAAGGAAAGCUGUGCUGGUUUCUCUGAACGUGUUGGUAGCUGUGUCUGUGAGAGCUGGCGAGCAGCUGGGGAGGCUCCAAGCCAUGGUAGCAAUGGCUUUACUGGCAUUUGGAGACAAAGUGUUGGAGAGCACUGAUGAGGAGGAUGAAGAAGACAAGGAGAGCAAGGUGGUGUAAAUGCUCCCAUAAUUAACCAGUUAAUAAUGAUCAUCAUGUUACAUUGUCACUGCCUAAUGAAAGUAUGACAGUGUAAUAUGUAGCGUGGCAUCAGCAUUGCUGGCUGGACCCUGAGACAGUUUCAUUUCACACAUCCCAAUGAGAACUGUCCAUCACGCUGUCAGAAGCCUACUCUGGAUAUUUUCCAAAGAGAAAAAUUUAGAAGUUUGGAAAAAUUUAAGGCUGAAGUGCUGUUACAGAGCUGCAGCUGGGCAAAAUGGGCAUCCAUGGCAGAGCCUGCAAAUAAAGCAGAUGUUCUGUGGGGAAAUACUGUUUAAAACUCUUUAAUUUCACCACAUUUUCACCUUUAUUGUCCAGCACUCAUCAUGGUUACCAUCCAAAAGUCAACAUAAGACAUCCUGUUACAAUUAAUUAGCUGAUCAUCUGCAAAAACCCUGUACAGUUGCUAAUCAAAUACAUAAAAUAGCCUGUGACCUGAGCACACAUAAUUCCACCCAUUUAGGUAUAAGCUGCCAAACAAAGAAGGUUUGCAAGUCAACAGUCUCCAUCACUGUCAGGCCC